ACAGCAGUGUGUUUCCCAGUAAAGAAAAUAGGAUGCUACCUGAGUCAGCACCUGCAUCUCCACCACCAUCAUCAUCGUCACUGUCUUCAUCGCCUCCGGGCUGGACCAGCCCCUGCCUGUGAGCUCCCUGGAGGCAGAGGUGCAAAGUCUGCAAUGACACAAAAAGCCAGCACGCUGGGAGGGGCUCUGGAGACCAUCUCAUUCGCUUUGCACCCCUUCUGGCCUGAAUCAUCUCCCUCAGGUAACUAAGAGGAGGGGGCAAAGGACUCCAGACUAUGUAGCCAGAUAUAGCCCCAGGUCCCCAGGGCUAUAUCUUGGGUCUGUGCAGAAACUAGGGACGUGGGGGCCAGAGGUAUUUUUAGAAGCAGCCUUAUCAGGAGGAAGCCUCCAGCAGAGACAAGCGGUCUCCAGGGACAGAGCAGAGGAGCUGACUGAGGAGUUUCCGGAGCAGGGGGAGGCUGACUCCCCUGCCUUCCCCAUUCCUUCCAGCUCCCACUGCCUCACCCUCUCGGCUUCCUGCAGCAUUUCUCUCCAGAAGCCCUCCCUAGGCUCUGCCGGCAGAGCUGGAAGGGACUGUCCUCUUCCUUGUGGUCCCACUAUCACCUGUGAAGCCUGUGGUUUAACUGGCCUCUCUCUACUGAAGGGGUUGUCACAGCCUGUGUCAUUGUUAUUAGCAAUGGGACACGCUGUCUCAAGUGAAGUCUUAUUCAGAAGUCCAAUAUAAGCCCACUGUGUAAGAGAGAGAGCGUAGAACUCCCUAGGGUGAAGCAGUGUGGGAGGGUAUGAACCCCCUGGGCCCACCCCUCUUCCCACCUUAUGGAGCCUCCAAAAGCCAUCUGUCUAGCGGGCUUCUUCGUGGGGCCUGUUGAGGUAAGGCAGAGCUCCUUUAGGGAAGGGUGGCAAAUGGGAUUUCUCCCAUUGCAGACAUGUGUUGCUUAGCAGACAAGGUGUCACGGUAGCCUAAUAAGGUCUGGAGUAGGAAAGCGGGAUGAGAGUGGCUGAGUGGCCAGCAUCUGCCUUCCCGGUCCUAAGAUAUGGAGAAUAGAAAAUGGAAUUGGGGAGUGGUGCCCUCAGGUCCCAAGAGGGCUGCAGACUGCAGGCCUCCCUGAAGUGAAGAUGCAGCAAAGUGGAAGACAGCACACGGAAACCAUGCAGCAGCUCCCUCUGGGGAAGAGAAAGAGGGAGCCACGUUGCUCUAUACCCUGUGGACUUCUUGCAAUAUGAACCUUCAUGGACCUAAGAAAAAUAAUAAUAAAGGAAA
rnacentral:lncRNA from 1 species